rnacentral:rRNA from 1 species
GGGGCUACACAUGCAGUCGAGCGGCAGCGGGAAGUAGCUUGCUACUUUGCCGGCGAGCGGCGGACGGGUGAGUAAUGUCUGGGAAACUGCCUGAUGGAGGGGGAUAACUACUGGAAACGGUAGCUAAUACCGCAUGACCUCGCAAGAGCAAAGUGGGGGACCUUAGGGCCUCACGCCAUCGGAUGUGCCCAGAUGGGAUUAGCUAGUAGGUGAGGUAAUGGCUCACCUAGGCGACGAUCCCUAGCUGGUCUGAGAGGAUGACCAGCCACACUGGAACUGAGACACGGUCCAGACUCCUACGGGAGGCAGCAGUGGGGAAUAUUGCACAAUGGGCGCAAGCCUGAUGCAGCCAUGCCGCGUGUGUGAAGAAGGCCUUCGGGUUGUAAAGCACUUUCAGCGAGGAGGAAGGCAGCAAAGUGAAUACCUUUGCUGAUUGACGUUACUCGCAGAAGAAGCACCGGCUAACUCCGUGCCAGCAGCCGCGGUAAUACGGAGGGUGCAAGCGUUAAUCGGAAUUACUGGGCGUAAAGCGCACGCAGGCGGUUUGUUAAGUCAGAUGUGAAAUCCCCGCGCUUAACGUGGGAACUGCAUUUGAAACUGGCAAGCUAGAGUCUUGUAGAGGGGGGUAGAAUUCCAGGUGUAGCGGUGAAAUGCGUAGAGAUCUGGAGGAAUACCGGUGGCGAAGGCGGCCCCCUGGACAAAGACUGACGCUCAGGUGCGAAAGCGUGGGGAGCAAACAGGAUUAGAUACCCUGGUAGUCCACGCUGUAAACGAUGUCGAUUUGGAGGUUGUGGGCUUGACCCGUGGCUUCCGGAGCUAACGCGUUAAAUCGACCGCCUGGGGAGUACGGCCGCAAGGUUAAAACUCAAAUGAAUUGACGGGGGCCCGCACAAGCGGUGGAGCAUGUGGUUUAAUUCGAUGCAACGCGAAGAACCUUACCUACUCUUGACAUCCAGAGAAUUCGCUAGAGAUAGCUUAGUGCCUUCGGGAACUCUGAGACAGGUGCUGCAUGGCUGUCGUCAGCUCGUGUUGUGAAAUGGUUGGGUUAAGUCCCGCAACGAGCGCAACCCUUAUCCUUUGUUGCCCGCACGUCCUGGUGGGAACUCAAAGGAAAAUGGCCGUGAUAAACCGGAGAAAAGAGGGGGGGAUAGAACUCCAAGUCUUCAGGGGCCCUUAAAAAAAAGGGGUACCCACCGUGCUACCAUGGGG